GGGAAGGGGAAGGGGAAGGGGAAGCGGCAUAGAGGAGGGUGCGGGAUUGAGGUAUGCCCUCAGUAGGCUGUCUAACCCAUCAGACAACUUUCGAGCUACUUGCUGUAGAGAUGAACUAGAGUGAAAAUGAAGAAACCUGCCAUCUGCACAUCAGUAACCACACAAAACUCAUCAACAAAAACCACAAGCCCAAAAGAGAAUUUAAGAUAAAACUUUCACACCAAAAACAAAGUCAAUAUAUCAUGCAUCAGAACAGUAACUUGUAAGGUAUUUUUAAUAUAAGGCUACAGGGCAGCAUACUUUCCCGUCUUACUCGAGGAAGACACUAAAUUACGAAUCACGAAAUUGUUUUUAUGGUUAUUAGGCUAUUGCAUAGUUAGGGAAUCUGUCAACAUAACAUUUUAAGCCACAAAGAAUCCAAAUAACAUAUUAAUGGCCUAUUUGGUAUUGCUGUUGAGAAAAACACUUUUUUUAAAUAUAUUAAUUAAAA
rnacentral:misc_RNA from 1 species